rnacentral:tRNA from 1 species
UUUUAUCUAGUUUAAAAUAAAAUUUUUAAUUGUCAAUUAAAAGAAAUAGUUUCCUCUAUGAUAGGUU